UACGUAGGAUGCAAGCGUUACCCGGAAUUAUUGGGCGUAAAGAGCUCGUAGGCGGCUUGUCGCGUCGAAUGUGAAAACUCGGGGCUCAACUCCGAGCUUGCAUUCGAUACGGGCAGGCUAGAGUUCGGUAGGGGAGACUGGAAUUCCUGGUGUAGCGGUGAAAUGCGCAGAUAUCAGGAGGAACACCGGUGGCGAAGGCGGGUCUCUGGGCCGAUACUGACGCUGAGGAGCGAAAGCGUGGGGAGCGAACAGG
rnacentral:rRNA from 1 species